UUUCACCAAGGAUUGUUUUUCUCGCAAUAUUUUUCCUGCGAGAUACGGAAUGGAAUCAAAGUCGCCAACCUAGGCAGGCUGCGAAUCAUAAAAAUAAAGGACUGG
rfam:Vibrio coralliilyticus strain 58 chromosome I, complete sequence.